CAUCAAAAAUAAAUUGCCGCUCAAACAGCACACGUCCAACUGUCUUCCCUUUUCUUUUUUUUCUGAUUUUCCGGGAUUAACACCAUCUCUGCGUUUUCGUUUUUUGAGCACCGUUGAACCUAGAUGUUUUCUUGGCCACACACGCACCUGCGGUCCAUUUCGUUUACGAUUUCGGAAACUCUGCAACUUAGUUACGGAAACAAGAAUUGGUAUGUGUAUACAUAGAUGGGCUCACCCAUCUCGACACACUCACACCUCUCACCACCACGACACAUCCCGACACCCGCGUAACACUCUUCGAACCACCUUCACGUUGCCGGAGUUCAGUCGCCACCCACCGAAGUCGAAGUGUGCGCCAGAGAUACAAGGACGUCGCCGGAAAACCUGCAAGUGGCCGCACGUACCGACGCCGGAGUUCACGGAGACCACGACUGAGUCUUGUUCCUGUUCUUUUCGCCGGAGUUACGUCACCGGAAAGUUGGAGAAGAUGACCGGAAAUUCGCGACGGAGUUCCGUUCCUUGUCAUUGCGUUCAUGCGUAUAGACAAACAAGGAAGUAGAAGGCGUCACCUUUUCGCGUACUCGGAAACGUUCAGACCCUCAUCAUUUGUUUUGUUCGGUAUACGUUCCUUAGAACUCUCACACGCUCUGUUGUCGAUAACCCGUCUGCCGGAGUUCCGCCAGAGUAUCGGAACCGUGGAGAUCGGAGAACAAACCAGAAACCCACCAACUUUGUUCGGUUAAUCGCUCUCGUUUAUUCUCUUGGAAUUCUCAAUCUUUACUCGUACGUUCUUACAAGAAAUUCGCAACGCAAUCAAUGUUGACAGUCAAGACGUUGAAGAAUCAAGUUAGGAUGGACUAGAU